GGCCCGUUAGCUCAGCCUGGUAGAGCACCUCCCUGUCUAGGAGGCCGUCGGGGGUUCGAAUCCCCCACGGGUCGCCA
rnacentral:tRNA from 1 species